rnacentral:rRNA from 1 species
GAUGAACGCUGGCGGCGUGCCUAAUACAUGCAAGUCGAGCGAACAGACGAUGAGCUUGCUCCUCUGACGUUAGCGGCGGACGGGUGAGUAACACGUGGAUAACCUACCUAUAAUACUGGGAUAACUUCGGGAAACCGGAUCUAAUACCGGAUAAUAUCUUGAACCGCAUGGUUCAAUAGUGAAAGACGGUUUUGCUGUCACUUAUAGAUGGAUCCGCGCGGCAUUAGCUAGUUGGUAAGGUAACGGCUUACCAAGGCUACGAUGCGUAGCCGACCUGAGAGGGUGAUAGGCCGCACUGGAACUGAGACGCGGUCCAGACUCCUACGGGAGGCAGCAGUAGGGAAUCUUCCGCAAUGGGCGAAAGCCUGACGGAGCAACGCCGCGUGGGUGAUGAAGGUCUUCGGAUCGUAAAACUCUGUUAUUAGGGAAGAACAAAUGUGUAAGUAACUAUGCACGUCUUGACGGUACCUAAUCAGAAAGCCACGGCUAACUACGUG